CUGGUAGUCCUAGCUGUAAACGCUGGGUACUAGGUGUAGGGGGUUUAGACGCCCUCUGUGCCGUAGUUAACGCAUUAAGUACCCCGCCUGGGGAGUACGAUCGCAAGGUUGAAACUCAAAGGAAUUGACGGGGGCCCGCACAAGCGGUGGAGCAUGUGGUUUAAUUCGACGCAACGCGAAGAACCUUACCAGGGCUUGACAUCUACCUGACGUAUUUUAGAGAUAAUUUACUUCUUUCGGGACAGGUAGACAGGUGGUGCAUGGUUGUCGUCAGCUCGUGUCGUGAGAUGUUGGGUUAAGUCCCGCAACGAGCGCAACCCUUAUUCUUAGUUGCCAGCAGGUUAAGCUGGGCACUCUAGGGAGACUGCCGGUGACAAACCGGAGGAAGGUGGGGAUGACGUCAAAUCAUCAUGCCCUUUAUGUCCUGGGCUACACACGUGCUACAAUGGCCGGUACAACGAGUUGCGAGACAGCGAUGUUUAGCCAAUCUCUUAAAGCCGGUCUCAGUUCGGAUUGCAGGCUGCAACUCGCCUGCAUGAAGUCGGAAUCGCUAGUAAUCGCGAAUCAGCACGUCGCGGUGAAUACGUUCCCGGGCCUUGUACACACCGCCCGUCACACCACGAAAGCUGGCAACACCCGAAGCCGGUGACUUAACCGCAAGGAGAGAGCCGUCGAAGGUGGGGUUGGUGAUUGGGGUGAAGUCGUAACAAGGUAACCAAGGGCGAA
rnacentral:rRNA from 1 species